rnacentral:tRNA from 1 species
GGGACGGUAGGGUAGCUUGGGUAUCCUUGUGCCUUCGGAUGGCACAGACCGUGGUUCAAAUCCGCGCCGUCCCA